AAUUUCCACUCAUUCACAACUUACGAUGGUUUCACACAGGGUGCUGGAUUGAUGCUUCGUGUUACUCAGCAAGGCUUGCUUCUGCGAGAGGGAGGAGCAGUGGUGGUGGGGGGAACCCUUCCUCGGUGAGGCCUACUUGUCCAGCACAGUGCUCAGGGCCCUGCAAGAGUCCCAGCGGGAGAGUGACUUGCUCAAGGUCACACAGCUCAAGGGGCAAACUGGAUUUGAACCCAGACUGUGGGGCUCCAGGGAACCAUGGUGGGGUGCACCCCUCCCACCACCACCAGUCUUAGAUUGGCAGCCUUUUGUGGAGCGUCCAUGCUGUGCCCAGGCCUGUGCGGGAAGCCUCUGGAAGACGCAGGGAGAGUGGCCGGCCUUGUGGCAAGAUAGGACACAUGUAUUGCUAUUACUGUUUAUUACCACCCUCUCUAACUCUGAUCCUUAGAGAAAAAGAGGCACUGAAGAAAAUGAGUAAAGAGGAGCAGAGUUUCUUUUUUCCUCCCAAGUGAAUCAUUGAAAGAAAACAUCAAAUAGCAAAUGAAUAGCAUCAUAAGAAGUCAAGAGAAAGACCAUGGAAGAAAGAAGAAACUUUAACAGCGCUUUUUUCAUGAUCUUUGAACAAGGAGCUCUAAAUUAUCAUUUUGCACUGGCUCUGUCCCAGCUCAUGUUUGUUGAGUGAAUAAAUAAAUAAAUAAAUGCAUACAUACAUAUUUAUUAGUACAUGGAACACACUGAUUAUCUUCCAUUUCCUAACAACACUGUAUGUAAUCAGGAUUGCAGGCAUGUUAUGAAAUACUAGAAUAGCUGAAUAUUAAAAUUAUUCUGGAAUCA
rnacentral:lncRNA from 1 species